CUAGUAUCUGUAGCAGUCAUCUGCUCCUGAAGUGUCACGCAGUGGAAUUCAGGGACAGGUGAACUGGAACUCCCAGCCUGGUUUCUACAUGGACUGACACAGUAAACUACUAAUAUAGACAAUGCCUCUGUGGAAGAGAAACGACCUCAAUUCGUUGAUAUGAAGAAGGAAUACAUUUGCCUGUCCAGUGGAAUAAGAGGAAGAAUCUUUUGGAGAAAGAGCUUCAGUGGAAGAAGUGGAUCACUGAUGGGAGUCUUUGAGAUUCGUAACCUAAAACCAUUUCCUGCCCCGUCUCAGCUCCCUGACCCACUCAGAUGUGAGCAAGAAGCCUCUCGCUCCUACUGCCACCACUGUGAGCCUCCACACCUAACCUAAAGAAGUUCAUCACCUCAACUAU